ACGGAAUCAUUUCUGCACAGACU
rnacentral:miRNA from 1 species